rnacentral:tRNA from 1 species
GGGCCUGUAGCUCAAUGGUAGAGCGCCUCCAUGGCAUGGAGGAGGCUGCGCGUUCGAAUCGCGCCAGGUCCA